UGUGGGAGCGAGCUUGCUCGCGAUGGCAUCGGAUCAUCAGCAACUGUAUUGACUGACACACCGCAAUCGCGAGCAAGCUCGCUCCCACA
rnacentral:misc_RNA from 1 species